rnacentral:rRNA from 1 species
AGCGAACGCUGGCGGCAGGCCUAACACAUGCAAGUCGAACGAACUCUUCGGAGUUAGUGGCGGACGGGUGAGUAACACGUGGGAACGUGCCUUUUGGUUCGGAAUAACUCAGGGAAACUUGUGCUAAUACCGAAUGUGCCCUUCGGGGGAAAGAUUUAUCGCCAUUAGAGCGGCCCGCGUCUGAUUAGCUAGUUGGUGAGGUAACGGCUCACCAAGGCGACGAUCAGUAGCUGGUCUGAGAGGAUGACCAGCCACACUGGGACUGAGACACGGCCCAGACUCCUACGGGAGGCAGCAGAGGGGAAUCUUGCGCAAUGGGCGAAAGCCUGACGCAGCCAUGCCGCGUGAAUGAUGAAGGUCUUAGGAUUGUAAAAUUCUUUCACCGGGGACGAUAAUGACGGUACCCGGAGAAGAAGCCCCGGCUAACUUCGUG